rnacentral:sRNA from 1 species
UGACCUGGAACGGGUGUCGCGUCUUCCA